AUGGGAAUUUUGAUAGAAACACAACCGUUUCCAACGAACUAGAGGGAAACGUCGUCGCCAAGUACAUCCGGGUUAUAUCCGUCUCCGGACAUUCCUAUAGAUCGAUGAGACUUGAGGUACAAGGAUGCCCCGUCAGGAAGAUAUCCAAUGCGUGUCACAGAUGGGAAGCCAGACAAGGAUCUACAGGAGACGUUUACACAGUUCUCGUGGACACGGACGCAUCAAAUCAAGGAAUAUGUGGCCUGAAGUGUUUCAGACUAUCAGAAUGUGACAGCUUCCUGUUUGAUGUCGGCUCCAAACGCUGUAGAUUACUGAAGACGACUCCUGAUACGUCAUAUGUUACAGUGGAUCUGGCCGGAGUUUGGUAUUUUACGAUAAUAACACAGUAAAUACAUUUAUUCAACUGCUAGUUGACAUCAUUUCAGUCAACAAGGAUUGGAAUUUCUUUGGUAUGUUUACAAUUCACAUGUAAGAUGUUCCUAUUUGAUAUAAUGAAUGGUGCACUUGAGAAUUUAAGUAAUUAAGAUGUUUGUCACAUGUCUUAGAAUCCUUGUUAUCCUUUCUAUUGUCACAUGUCCUAGAAUCCUUGUUAUCCUUUCUAUUGUCACAUGUCCUAGAAUCCUUGUUAUCCUUUCUAUUGUCACAUGUCCUGACUCCUUGUUAUCCUUUCUAUUGUCACAUGUCCUAGAAUCCUUGUUAUCCUUUCUAUUGUCACAUGUCCUAGAAUCCUUGUUAUCCUUUCUAUUGUCACAUGUCCUAGAAUCCUUGUUAUCCUUUCUAUUGUCACAUGUCCUAGAAUCCUUGUUAUCCUUUCUAUUGUCACAUGUCCUAGAAUCCUUGUUAUCCUUUCUAUUGUCACAUGUCCUAGAAUCCUUGUUAUCCUUUCUAUUGUCACAUGUCCUAGAAUCCUUGUUAUCCUUUCUAUUGUCACAUGUCAUAGAAUCCUUGUUAUCCUUUCUAAUGUCACAUAGUUUGCUGUAAUAUUUCAAAACCGCAUAUUAAAGAGUUAUUCGAAAAUCUGA